rnacentral:rRNA from 1 species
AUUGAACGCUGGCGGCAGGCCUAACACAUGCAAGUCGAGCGAGUGGCGGACGGGUGAGUAAUGUAUGGGGAUCUGCCUGAUGGAGGGGGAUAACUACUGGAAACGGUAGCUAAUACCGCAUACCAUCAGAUUUACCCAUAUGGGCUUAGCUAGUAGGUGGGGUAACGGCUCACCUAGGCGACGAUCCCUAGCUGGUCUGAGAGGAUGAUCAGCCACACUGGAACUGAGACACGGCCCAGACUCAUACGGGAGGCAGCAGUGGGGAAUAUUGCACAAUGGGCGCAAGCCUGAUGCAGCCAUGCCGCGUGUAUGAAGAAGGCCUUCGGGUUGUAAAGUACUGUCAGUCGGGAGGCGUUACCGACAGAAGAAGCACCGGCUAACUCCGUGCCAGCAGCCGCGGUAAUUC